rnacentral:rRNA from 1 species
CCGUGCCGCCAUCUUGGAUCCCUGAAAGCGCCCGAUCUCGUCUGAUCUCGGAAGCUAAGCAGGGACGGGCUUGGUUAGUACCUGGAUGGGAGACCGCCUGGCAAUACCAGGUGUUGUAGGCU